rnacentral:rRNA from 1 species
AUUGAACGCUGUCGGCAGGCCUAACACAUGCAAGUCGAGCGGAGCGGCGGACGGGUGAGUAAUGCCUAGGAAUCUGCCUGGUAUUGGGGGAUAACGUCCGGAAUCGGUCGCUAAUACCGCAUACUAUCAGAUGAGCCUAGGUCGGAUUAGCUGGUUGGUGGGGUAAAGGCCUACCAAGGCGACGAUGCGUCACUGGUCUGCAAGGAAGAUCAGUCACACUGGAACAGAGACACGGUCCAGACUCCGAAGGGAGGCGGCAGUGGGGAAUAUUGGACAAUGGGCGCAAGCCUGAUCCGGCCAUGCCGCGUGUGUGAAGAAGGUCUUCGGAUUGUAAAGCACUUUAAGUUGGGAGGCGUUACCAACAGAAUAAGCACCGGCUAACUUCGUGCCAGCAGCCGCGGUAAUAC